rnacentral:rRNA from 1 species
GACGAACGCUGGCGGCGUGCCUAAUACAUGCAAGUAGAACGCUGAAGGAAGGAGCUUGCUCUUUCCGGAUGAGUUGCGAACGGGUGAGUAACGCGUAGGUAACCUGCCUGGUAGCGGGGGAUAACUAUUGGAAACGAUAGCUAAUACCGCAUAACAGUAGAUGUUGCAUGAUAUCUACUUAAAAGGUGCAAUUGCACCACUACCAGAUGGACCCGCGUUGUAUUAGCUAGUUGGUGAGGUAACGGCUCACCAAGGCGACGAUACAUAGCCGACCUGAGAGGGUGGUCGGCCACACUUGGACUGAGACACGGCCCAGGCUCCUACGGGAGGCAGCAGUAGGGGAUCUUCGGCAAUAGACGGAAGUCUGACCGGGCAACGCCGCGUGAGUGAAGAAGGGUUUCGGAUCGUAAAGCUCUGUUGUAAGAGAAGAACGAGUGUGAGAGUGGAAAGUUCACACUGUGACGGUAUCUUACCAGAAAGGGACGGCUAACUACGUG